rnacentral:tRNA from 1 species
GCAUUAGUGGUGUAACGGUAACAUUCAACCCUUCCAUAAUCCGAGCCGUGAGGUAAAGAUUGCGAGGUUGGGCCCUGGGUUCGACUCCCAGCUAAUGCA